rnacentral:rRNA from 1 species
GAUGAACGCUAGCUACAGGCUUAACACAUGCAAGUCGAGGGGCAGCAUGGUCUUAGCUUGCUAAGGCCGAUGGCGACCGGCGCACGGGUGAGUAACACGUAUCCAACCUGCCGUCUACUCUUGGACAGCCUUCUGAAAGGAAGAUUAAUACAAGAUGGCAUCAUGAGUCCACAUGUUCACAUGAUUAAAGGUAUUCCGGUAGACGAUGGGGAUGCGUUCCAUUAGAUAGUAGGCGGGGUAACGGCCCACCUAGUCUUCGAUGGAUAGGGGUUCUGAGAGGAAGGUCCCCCACAUUGGAACUGAGACACGGUCCAAACUCCUACGGGAGGCAGCAGUGAGGAAUAUUGGUCAAUGGGCGAGGGCCUGAACCAGCCAAGUAGCGUGAAGGAUGACUGCCCUAUGGGUUGUAAACUUCUUUUAUAAAGGAAUAAAGUCGGGUAUGGAUACCCGUUUGCAUGUACUUUAUGAAUAAGGAUCGGCUAACUCCGUGCCAGCAGCCGCGGUAAUACGGAGGAUCCGAGCGUUAUCCGGAUUUAUUGGGUUUAAAGGGAGCGUAGAUGGAUGUUUAAGUCAGUUGUGAAAGUUUGCGGCUCAACCGUAAAAUUGCAGUUGAUACUGGAUAUCUUGAGUGCAGUUGAGGCAGGCGGAAUUCGUGGUGUAGCGGUGAAAUGCUUAGAUAUCACGAAGAACUCCGAUUGCGAAGGCAGCCUGCUAAGCUGCAACUGACAUUAAGGCUCGAAAGUGUGGGUAUCAAACAGGAUUAGAUACCCUGGUAGUCCACACGGUAAACGAUGAAUACUCGCUGUUUGCGAUAUACAGCAAGCGGCCAAGCGAAAGCGUUAAGUAUUCCACCUGGGGAGUACGCCGGCAACGGUGAAACUCAAAGGAAUUGACGGGGGCCCGCACAAGCGGAGGAACAUGUGGUUUAAUUCGAUGAUACGCGAGGAACCUUACCCGGGCUUAAAUUGCAGAUGAAUUACGGUGAAAGCCGUAAGCCGCAAGGCAUCUGUGAAGGUGCUGCAUGGUUGUCGUCAGCUCGUGCCGUGAGGUGUCGGCUUAAGUGCCAUAACGAGCGCAACCCUUGUUGUCAGUUACUAACAGGUUCCGCUGAGGACUCUGACAAGACUGCCAUCGUAAGAUGUGAGGAAGGUGGGGAUGACGUCAAAUCAGCACGGCCCUUACGUCCGGGGCUACACACGUGUUACAAUGGGGGGUACAGAGGGCCGCUACCACGCGAGUGGAUGCCAAUCCCAAAAACCUCUCUCAGUUCGGACUGGAGUCUGCAACCCGACUCCACGAAGCUGGAUUCGCUAGUAAUCGCGCAUCAGCCACGGCGCGGUGAAUACGUUCCCGGGCCU